rnacentral:rRNA from 1 species
GGUUCGAUUAUGGCUCAGAUUGAACGCUGGCGGGAUGCUUUACACAUGCAAGUCGAACGGCAGCACGGACUUCGGUCUGGUGGCGAGUGGCGAACAGGUGAGUAAUGUAUCGGAACGUGCCUAGUAGCGGGGGAUAACUACGCGAAAGCGUAGCUAAUACCGCAUACGCCCUUCGGGGGAAAAGCGGGGGACCUUCGGGCCUCGCACUAUUAGAAGCAGCCGAUAUCCGGAUUAGCUAGUUGGUGGGGUAACGGCUCACCAAGGCGACGAUCCGUAGCUGGUUUUGAGAGGACGACCAGCCACACUGGGACUGAGACACGGCCCAGACUCCUACGGGAGAGCAGCAGUGGAAUUUUGGAUAAUGGGGAAACCUGAUCCAGCCAUCCCGCGUGUGCGAUGAAGGCCUUCGGGUUGUAAAGCACUUUUGGCAGGAAAGAAACGGCGGGACAUACCCCGUGCAACUGACGGUACCUGCAGAAUGGCACACCGGCUAACUACGUGCCAGCAGCCGCGGUAAUACGUAGGGUGCAAGCGUUAAUCGGAAUUACUGGGCGUAAAGCGUGCGCAGGCGGUUCGGAAAGAAAGAUGUGAAAUCCAGAGCUUAACUUUGGAACUGCAUUUUUUAACUGCACCGAGCUAGAGUGUGUCAGAGGGAGGUGGAAUUCCGCGUGUAGCAGUGAAAUGCGUAGAUAUGCGGAGGAACACCGAUAGCGAAGGCAGCCUCCUGGGAUAACACUGACGCUCAUGCACGAAAAGCGUGGGGAGCAAACGGGAUUAGAUACCCUGGUAGUCCACGCCCUAAACGAUGUCAACUAGCUGUUGGGGCCUUCGGGCCUUGGUAGCGCAGCUAACGCGUGAAGUUGACCGCCUGGGAAAUUACGGUCGCAAGAUUAAAACUCAAAGGAAUUGACGGGGACCCGCACAAGCGGUGGAUGAUGUGGAUUAAUUCGAUGCAACGCGAAAAACCUUACCUACCCUUGACAUGUCUGGAAUCCCGAAGAGAUUUGGGAGUGCUCGCAAAGAGAACCGGAACACAGGUGCUGCAUGGCUGUCGUCAGCUCGUGUCGUGAGAUGUUGGGUUAAGUCCCGCAACAGGCGCAACCCUUGUCAUUAGUUGCUACGAAAGGGCACUCUAAUGAGACUGCCGGUGACAAACCGGAGGAAGGUGAGGAUGACGUGGGAUCCUCAUGGCCCAUAUGGGUAGGGCUUCACCCGUCAUACAAUGGUCGGGACAGAGGGUCGCCAGCCCGCGAGGGAGACGUCCAGAAACCCGAUCGUAGUCCGGAUCGCAGUCUGCAGCUCGACUGCGUGAAGUCGGAAUCGCUAGUAAUCGCGGAUCAGCAUGUCGCGGUGAAUACGUUCCCGGGUCUUGUACACACCGCCCGUCACACCAUGGGAGUGGGUUUACCAGAAGUAGUUAGCCUAACCGUAAGGAGGGCGUUACCGCGGUAGGAUUCAUGACUGGGGUGAAGUCGUAACAAGGUAA